UACGUAGGGUGCAAGCGUUGUCCGGAAUUAUUGGGCGUAAAGAGCUCGUAGGCGGUCUGUCGCGUCGGCUGUGAAAACCUGGGGCUUAACCUCGGGCCUGCAGCCGAUACGGGCAGACUAGAGUUCGGCAGGGGAGGACUGGAAUUCCUGGUGUAGCGGUGAAAUGCGCAGAUAUCAGGAGGAACACCGGUGGCGAAGGCGGGUCUCUGGGCCGAUACUGACGCUGAGGAGCGAAAGCGUGGGGGAGCGAACAGG
rnacentral:rRNA from 1 species